UCCCUGGAGGACUAGCGGUUUGACCUCGGCACUUUCGCCGCGGAGGCUCAGGUUCGAUUCCCUGCCAGGGAA